rnacentral:rRNA from 1 species
UACGAAGGGGGGCUAGCGUUGUUCGGAAUUACUGGGCGUAAAGGGCGCGUAGGCGGCCUGCUAAGUCGGAUGUGAAAUCCCUCGGCUCAACCGAGGAACUGCAUCCGAUACUGGCGGGCUUGAAUCCGGGAGAGGGAUGUGGAAUUCCAGGUGUAGCGGUGAAAUGCGUAGAUAUCUGGAGGAACACCGGUGGCGAAGGCGGCAUCCUGGACCGGUAUUGACGCUGAGGCGCGAAAGCUAGGGGAGCAAACGGGG